rnacentral:lncRNA from 12 species
UGGAAACUUGCUGAAGGCAGAAAGAGCUGCUGCUGUCACCGAGGAGGGGACCAAGCCUGGCAGGAGCAGGGGACACCUCAAUGCGGCCCCGGCCCUGGGUGUUUUUCCGCUCGCCUGGCACUGGCGCUGCCGCCGGCUCGGUGCAGCCAAGAGAGCUGAGCCCUAAACCGGGCCCGAAGUGGCGACGUGCGGCUGGAAAUGGGAAAUGCGGUGGGUGAGGGACGGUCCGGGGCGAGUGCGGCAGCGCCAGGGGACAGCCGCGCUCCACCUACCCCAGCCCGGGGGAGCUCGGCGGGCCAGGGGAGGGGACGGCAGAGGGAUCCCCGCCGAUGUGCAGCGUCGCCCGGACAGCCCCAGACUGUCAGACAGGGAGGGAAGGAGGAAGGGAGGGACGGAAGGAGGUGCCAUAGCCCCGCCACACACCGGGAUCCUUCGGGAAGAGCGGGGCGAGCCGGGCCGGAGCGCGGCUCGAGGCUCCCCCCGCAGCCCCGGGUGCCCCAGCCGGUGGGACCCGGGGAGGAAAAAAGGGGAGCCGGCGCUGGCGUUAUUGCUCUUUCCUCUCCUUAAGGAGGUCAAACGCGAUCGUUCACAGCUAUUGAUUGCUCCUCGGGCUUGUAGUGAUUUGUUAAAAGGCUAAUGGAAUGAGUCAUCGACAGAGUGGAUUAUUUAAAGCACCAUGUGAGUCUAUAAUCAUGUAUAUAUACAAGUUAUUAUAUAUUGGAAAUCUGUCUCCUCCACUCCCUAGUCUCUUAUAAUCCUCUGACCAGGAACCAGGCAGUCCCCAUGUGGAAAUUUAGAAAAGAAAAAUCAGUAAUGCUCUUAGCAUCAAACAAUAAAUCCUGAAGUUAUUU